ensembl:lncRNA
AAACUCCUUUAUCAAUUAAAAUCAUGCCAAUAGUAAACUGGGUAGCAAGUUGUUUACAGCCAUAAGCAACGUGCAGUGGCCUGGGAUCUUUCUUUUGGAGUAGAAAAACAUGACUGGCAAAGCUCAGAGGAUCGGUUUGGGCAAAGAAGAAAGGUUACUUGGUUUUGAAAUCUUAAAACUUGGGUCUUGGCUCUACUGAAAUCAUUGAUAAUACUGUCACUUAUGCCAAUAUGAAUUUAUCACUCCAUUAUAUGAAAUCUUGCUCUAAGGAGUGACUACAAAAAGCUGAAGGGGCAGUUUUCUUUUUCUGUUCUGAGUCAUUUGGGUGACCCAGGGCAAAUCAUUUUAGUAUUACCCACCCAGCACCAACAGCAGUAGAAGGACUAAUUGUUAAACAGAGACCUUACUCUUCCUCUCGAUGCAAGCAGCUCUUUGCCUGCCAUUGCUGGGCAUCCCUGCACCCUGCGAAGCAAAGCUACGUUCAGACACCGGAGCGGGCUGCAGUGGUGCACAUGGAGUAAGGAUGGUGUACGCUCACAGGGAGGUGCCUGGCUGCACAGAGGCUGACAGCGUCUGUUCAGAUUCGCUGCUGACCCUCUGCCAAACACGGUCUCCAGUUCCAUAUACAGCCUGAAGCAAAAGGUCCAGCUGCCUCUUGCCCCAGAGCUCCUGGGAAGGAUGUCUUGGUGCUUCUCCUUCGUGCUGAACGUGCAGUGCUGCUUUGGUGAUUCGGCUCAGCUCCUGCGGGCGCCACGGAAGGAGCCACCUUUUAGAAAGGUUACUUAAAAAAAGCCCUUGUCAUCACCAUGGCACCAAGAUGAGCCGUAGGCUUGGCUGAGGGCAGUGCUCGGAACACAGCUUAGUCCUCUCCUAGCACAGAGCCCGGGUCAGGGCACGCCGCCAGCGAGCCCCCGCUAGCUGCAACGAUCCACCUCUUCCCACUGGGAGAAAUUCCACUGUUCUGGAAAACUGUCAUCUCAAAUGAGAAUUCAUACUCAGAACUGGGUUUAAAGAUUUCUCGGCUGCUUCUGGAUUCCUCAGGUGUCUUUGCUCACUGUUUACUCAAAGAGAGUGACUGCACAGCCCUUGGGGAGCGGGGGCAGCCCAGCGAGCCACAGCGAGCCUACUGCUCGCUGUUGUAGGGACACAACCUGAGAAGCCCCAACAGCAUUAAGACAGCGUUAGGGCUUUUGUAAUAAUCUUCAGGCUUUGGAGCAACCUGGGAGAAUCUCGCACGGUGCAACUAAUUCCUAUCAGUCACCAAAUGCUUACAAAAGUCUUGAAUUUUUAGCAUUUUGGGGUUUUAGCUUAAAAAACAUUUUUCUCCUAGUCACACCUCUAGAGCUAGUGGCACAUAUAAAAUGUGGCUUUACGUUGCAAAAGCAUCUCGGUUUUUUGAAGGAAGGAAGGAUACCUUACAUCUGGUGUGACUAAUAAUCCAAACGUUGAUUAAUCCCAUUCUUCCUCUUACAGCUAUAAUGUUCUGUAUGGUGUCCUCCUCUGGCCCCAGAGUUUUUUCCCUCGAUGUCCUUAUGCCAGACUCUGAUCCCGGUUUUACCUUGCUAUAUGUAGGCUAUGGUGAAAGUGUCUUCUUGUAUCGUAGCAGCGCUACAAAAGCUGUAACCUAUGUUAGAUAGCUAUGUUUUUAAGUAUUUAAUAUUCAACCUGUUUCAUUAAUGUUUCUUGAUAAAUCUGCUAAACAAAUGUAUAAGAUGGGAGAGGUACAAAAAUGAUGAAGGAUGGAAUAAAGGUGAUUUAUCACAAACAGGUGCCAGGUUUGUGCUAAAAAGCAGAAACAGGGAAAGCAUUUCAGGCCUUUUCUUGCAGAUGACAAAGGACAAAAGUUUCCAUGGGCUUUCUCUGACCCAAUGCUUCCUUGUAAACUUUGUUUUGUCUGUUCUACAAAAUACCCAGCGUAUUUUCUUAAUGGGUCCUUUUUAACACUAUUUCAAUGAGAUGCAGUGUGAGGUAAUUUCUCGAAAAUAUCACAGGUUUUAUCAAACAACCAGGAUCCACUUUGUGAAUUAAUUUUUGUUUCAAAGAUUCCUAAAACUGCCCAAAUAGACUUCUGCUAUAAACUUGCUAUUAAUUUCUUGGUUAAUGGCUAACACACAUUGAAACAAAGGCAUCCAACUAUUGCAUUCGGUUGGCUAAACAUUUGUGCUGUAUAGAAAGGUGUAAUUUAUUUUAUAACACCUCUUCUGGUUUCUUCUUUUUUAUUACAGAUAAGUAGAGUUGUUCUGUGGGAGAAAAGAAUUCAUACCCACACAUUGCAUCUCAUUUUAUUUGGGCACUGUGCCUUUACAGCAUCAUGUAUUGUCGCAAUUCUCUUUUUAGACAUCACUUGUAAGCAUCU